UAAAGAGUAAGGGUGCUCAGCGCCCGACCUCCAACCCUUUGUUGUUAAAACUACCUUGUUGCUUUGGCGGGACCGCUCGGUCUCGAGCCGCUGGGGAUUCGUCCCAGGCGAGCGCCCGCCAGAGUUAAACCAAACUCUUGUUAUUAAACCGGUCGUCUGAGUUAAAAUUUUGAAUAAAUCAAAACUUUCAACAACGGAUCUCUUGGUUCUCGCAUCGAUGAAGAACGCAGCGAAAUGCGAUAAGUAAUGUGAAUUGCAGAAUUCAGUGAAUCAUCGAAUCUUUGAACGCACAUUGCGCCCCUUGGUAUUCCGAGGGGCAUGCCUGUUCGAGCGUCAUUACACCACUCAAGCUAUGCUUGGUAUUGGGUGCCGUCCUUAGUUGGGCGCGCCUUAAAGACCUCGGCGAGGCCUCACCGGCUUUAGGCGUAGUAGAAUUUAUUCGAACGUCUGUCAAAGGAGAGGACUUCUGCCGACUGAAACCUUUAUUUUUCUAGGUUGACCUCGGAUCAGGUAGGGAUACCCGCUGAACUUAAGCAUAU
rnacentral:rRNA from 1 species